rnacentral:rRNA from 1 species
CCUACGGGUGGCAGCAGUGGGGAAUAUUGCGCAAUGGGCGAAAGCCUGACGCAGCGACGCCGCGUGAGGGAUGAAGGUCUUCGGAUCGUAAACCUCUGUCAGUAGGGAAGAACGGUCACUGUGCUAAUCAGCAGUGAAUUGACGGUACCUGCAAAGGAAGCACCGGCUAACUCCGUGCCAGCAGCCGCGGUAAUACGGAGGGUGCGAGCGUUAAUCGGAAUUACUGGGCGUAAAGCGCUCGUAGGCGGUAUGUUAAGUCAAGGGUGAAAUCCCCGCGCUCAACGUGGGAACUGCCUUUGAAACUGGGAGACUGGAGUGUGUGAGAGGAUAGUGGAAUUCCAGGUGUAGGGGGGAAAUCCGUAGAUAUGUGGAGGAACAUCAGUGGCGAAGGCGACUAUCUGGCACAUAACUGACGCUGAGGAGCGAAAGCGUGGGGAGCAAACAGGAUUAGAUACCCGAGUAGUC